AUUGAACGCUGGCGGCAUGCUUUACACAUGCAAGUCGAACGGCAGCGCGGGCUUCGGCCUGGCGGCGAGUGGCGAACGGGUGAGUAAUGCAUCGGAACGUGCCCAGUAGUGGGGGAUAGCCCAGCGAAAGCCGGAUUAAUACCGCAUACGACCUGAGGGUGAAAGCGGGGGACCGAAAGGCCUCGCGCUAUUGGAGCGGCCGAUGUCGGAUUAGCUAGUUGGUGGGGUAAAGGCUUACCAAGGCGACGUUCCGUAGCUGGUCUGAGAGGACGACCAGCCACACUGGGACUGAGACACGGCCCAGACUCCUACGGGAGGCAGCAGUGGGGAAUUUUGGACAAUGGGGGCAACCCUGAUCCAGCCAUGCCGCGUGCGGGAAGAAGGCCUUCGGGUUGUAAAACGCUUUUGUUCGGGAAGAAAUACUCUGGGCUAAUACCCCGGGGGGAUGACGGUACCGGAAGAAUAAGCACCGGCUAACUACGUG
rnacentral:rRNA from 1 species